rnacentral:tRNA from 1 species
GGCAGUGUAGCCUAGUGGGAAAGCCCACGGGCCCUGGAGCCAGACUGUCCAGGUUCAAAUCCUGGGUCUGCCA